CACACUUCCUCCAACAAGGCCACACCUACUCCAACAAAGUCACACCUCCUAGUAGUACCACUCUGUAUGAGCUUGUGGGAGCCAAAUACACUCAAACUACCACAGCAGGUCUCCUCAAAUAUGUCACCCUUGAUGACUCCUAGACACACUUUCUUUCCCUUCUCUGUCAUAGGACAAAGCCACCCUUCCCAAAGAUGCCUACCAGGAUGAGUGGGAAUCCUUUGGCAGACCAAAGUAAAACCCACUCCUUUUGUGAGGCUGGGAAUCUUCUACCCAGAGGCAGGGGAUGGAUCCUGGCCACUUCCUCAUCAGUAUGCCUAAUGAAACUACAAGUCAGGUAGGUGCCUGGGGAACACUGUAUGAAUGGUCGUGGGAAGCUGGAAGUCCAGGUGACUGCACCCCCACCAGAAGGAUCUUCUUGUAGUGAUUCAAGAUCAAUCACUUGGGUUGAAUGACCCAAGGAAAACCAUCUUCCUUCUAUUUUCCAUUUAUUUCUCAAAGAGAAGAGUGUUCCCUCCCAACUAGAAAAUAGGAUGCCCUAUCUCAUCUUGAGGGUGGUGGAUUGACAUUUUCCCCUACACAUGACUUCCUUGAAAACAGGAAAUGUGUCUUUGUCCCUCUGCCCCAGCGUCUCCUGCUGGCAAACUGGAUGCUGAGCAUCCAGAUAAGCCUUUGUUCCCCAGGAAGGUUCACCUGCCUUAACUGGAGGAGAGGCCUUCCUCAUUAGUUUGCUCUCUGCCCCUCUAAGCUCAACCUACCACCUUUCCCUAGAAGGGUAGAGAAGGAAAUGCAGUCUAUUAGGAGUGGUGUAGCCCAGGGCUUCCUCCUGCACUUGUACCUCUUCAUCACAGACACUCUGGUCUUGUUUGCGCCUUCCCUGAAGAAGAGGGAGAGAGCGGACAAGAGGCCCAAACAGCAUGGCUGAUCUGCCCUUUCUUCUGCUGUCUCCCCUCUCCAUAAGCCACGCCACGACUGGAAAGUAGGCCUCAAGUGUCCCAGACUGGCAUCAAACAUGGUGCUUUGCCAAGAACAUCCUAAGCGUCUGACCUCCUGGUGGCUGGGAUCACAGGUGUGUGCUGCCGUUUCUCGUUUAUGUGAUGCUAGAUAGAAGCCCUGUUUUGUGAAUGUCAUAACCCUGGCCCCUAGCUGUUGUUCACAACCCACCUCCAUCCAAACGAUAAACACAAAAACCACUAUUCAGAAGCCACACAUACAUUCAUCCAAUCACUAAAGGUAAAUAGUCACUGCAGGAUCUAGAAGAGAGAGACAACUGAAGGGAGAAGGAGGUGGCCACUCAGCCUUUCCUGCUCCCAACAAGUUCUUUAUUGACUUUUGUUUUUGAGACAGAGUAUCACUGUGUAACCCAGGAAAGCCUAAAAUUUAGGAUCUUCUUACUGUAGCCUCCCAAGUGCACUAAUUACCAGCCACCACACCCAUCUGCUUCCAAGAACCUUGAAGCAACAUGGAUAGAUUAUGAGUGGUAGAAUGUAGACGCUUCAUGUGUGCCUGGAAGUAUAUCUUAGAGUUAGAGGAUAUGCUUAAUGAGAGUGAGGUCUUGGGUUCAAUCCCCAGCAUCAAAAACAGAAAACACAGAUGUGUACUCUCUAUACCCUCCUCUAAUACAUGUGGUCUUAGACAAGGUACAAGGCCACAGUCACACAAGCCUUCCCUGGUUUCUUCCUGCUGUGUCAUGUAAACACAUGUGCAAGCACCCAGUCUUGAUGUUCAUGGGCCCGCAGCUCCUUCUCACCAGGAGGGACAAAGUCUCCUACUCUUAGAACUUCUGCCCAUCAGUGGCUACUGCCUCUGCUGGCUCUACUCACCACCAUUGCUAUUCUUCCCUACUCAGAACCCACACCUUAACCAGUGACCUGGGGGUCCACCCCCAGCAUCUCAGGGGCCCACACUCACUGAUUGCUUCCAAGGGCACAAAAUAAAGGUCAUGGGGGACUGAGGGCCUGAGUAAUGCUCUCUCUGGGCAAUGUAUGUGUCUACCCAGAGUUGGACGACCUCUACAGAACAAGCAAUGCUAAUUCCCCAAGGCCCAGCCAUUGGGAUGGCUUCCAGAGCAGCAGGCCACUGGCCUGCAACCCCCAGCUGGCUACCAAAAGUGAUAGUGAGGGUGGAAACAGACAUGUUGUCUGGGGAGAGAAAUGUAGCAAUGACUUCCAAAACUACAGAUGCCUACGCCUUGUUUAUAUAUAGCAAUUCUGUUCACAGACACGUUUACAAAUACAUUUACACAGGUGUGAAAGGACUGGGGAGCUAAUUAUACACUACAACAUCACCUAUUAAUAAAGACAGGAUGCAAAUCAGGUAUCCAUUAGUAGAUAGCUAAGACAGCUAGUUUUAUGUAUUAUCUCCAUUCAUAAAAGAAAUGGGCAUCUUUUGUGUGUUAAUCUAGAAGGACCAUAAGCUAGUUCCGUAUAGUUAUGUUAAAAUUUAAGAGUACAGGAUGAGGUAUAUUUGUGAGGGAAAAGGUGGUUAAACGUUUUUCUUCUUUUUUUUUUUCAAGACAGGGUUUCUCUGUACUAUUUUGGAUGCUGUCCUGGAACUCGCUCUGUAGACCAGGUUGGCCUCGAACUCACAGAGAUCCACCUGCCUCUGCCUCCUGAGUGCUGAGAUUAAAGGUGUGCGCCACCAACGAGAACGUUUUCCUACUGAGUUGUUUGUACAUCAAAUGUUAUUGGAAGAAUUAAUAAGAUCCAAUAGUA